ensembl:lncRNA
GGCGGCCCCGCGCGCGGAAGACAGCGAGCGAAACACGACACCCAGAGCUCCGACAGAGGCACUGGGGGAGGAGAGAGAGUCGCGUUGUGUGAGUGAGUAGAAGAAUAAAAAAAGUGUGGAGAAAGAGAGAGGUAGCCGUCUCGUUUCGGAAUUUAACAGAGAAGAAAUCAUUUUGGCCGCGAGAUGUCUAAUAACGACGAAGAUGCGGUCGAGGCGGAGUAAACGGCGACAGGACAGUUGAGUGAAAGUAGUUGUAAACAAGUGAAGGGACGAAGGGUUUGUUGGUUGUUCGGAGGAGUCGGGACGGCUGUACGCUUUUCCGCUACAACUUCUUCGGCGGAUUGAACGCUGUGUCUGGACAGCGAGGUCUCGGCCGUUCAACUCAGUGGAAACAACCUGUCGGUGGGCUGAGGACAGGGUUAGCGAGGGAAGAGGCACCCAGGCGGCAGAAACUUUAUUUGAGCUUCCUCGACGACUUCUUCUUCUUCAUUUGGAUCCAAAGGCUGAGACCAGACCGACUUUUUGUUCUCCAAGUCUCCGGAGGAAUUCUCCCGACACUCUUCGGAUCCUUGCCUGCAGUCUGACUUGAUCAAAACAAUGAAGACCCCCGGAGACACUGCAAACUGCAGACGAGGGACGAUGAAGAGGUGGGUAGCGGCGCUGGGGUCGCUGAGCCGUGCCCAAGAGAGGGAGGCGCUGCAGCCACGCACACAGAGAAGUGGGUCAGGAAAACACUCUCACCACAAAGUCAUCAGGAUGCUCCUUUUGCACUUUUUGUUUACAGACCAUAAUGUUUGUAAUACUUUGUCAGCAUGGUGUCCCCCGGUCUGGGAAUGGUGGGAUUCCAUUUCUGUCUUUCACUCCAACGUGUGUUUUCAACAGCCGCUGCCCGCUCUCUAUAAACAUGGAAAAUGGUCUUCUUCAUAUUUAGUUAUUUGUUAUUUGUUAUGGUAUUAUAUGGUAUUUUAAGAUUAUUGUAUUUAUGGGGGCUAGCGCUGUCUUGGCAGUCAGAAGUGUACACAAAAAAAAAAAGGGUUAAACUAUGCAAAUAAAUGACUGGUAGUCAACUGCCGAAUAACUAACUAUUGUAUGUUCAGACUGUUUCCAGUCUUUGAUGCUCAAAUAAAACAUUGGGAACCAAAUGCAACUAAUGUGUUAAUCUGUAACAGCUAUUGGAUGGGGUUAACACUCAAAGCAUGUUUGUUUUCAUAGUAGUAUUAGAAGUUUAAUUACGUUCAUGCGAAAGCCAGCCUUCCUCUACCAUUGUCAUCCCUUUCUCUAAACUACUUAGUUCGUAACUAUCUUUGGCCCAAAAGUAAAAUCGUUUGAUCUAGGGAGUACCUGAGUGUCUUCAUUAAAAAAAAAACGUUCAUAGUAUAGUUGUUAACAAAAGAGAGGACGCAGAAGCUUGUUUCAAACGGCCAAGAUUAGGGUUUGCGCCCGAAUAAAAGACAUGAUGUAUGCAAAACGAGGUUGAAACGUAUCAAAGGACGAACCCACGUUUCCUUUCCCAGGCCGUGGUGAUGCAAGGCCUGGGCGGCAGCCUGCUCCGGCCAUAAUCAGAGUAAUGACCCGUCCAUUAGUGCUGCGGAGGCUGGAAAUUGCUCCCAGCCUCGGUGUCACCUUUUCCCCCAGGCGGCAGGAAGGUGUCAGGGACAACAGAUCCUGUUGGUAGGCCUCUCCGCUCCCCUGUUUACUCAUCACCCCGGGGGGCUGUUUAGAAAGACGGGACACUGGCUCUCUCCACCCUCAGACCCAGCCUUUCCCAGAGACACACCCACACACACCAGUGCAGUGUGUUGGACAAUCACCAUUUGUUUCAUAAACCUAACGGCAUUAAACUCCUUCGUAGACACUACACAGACACACACACACACACAGAGUUUGCGGUUGUGUUUUCCUCACAUGCAAGCUGAGGUGUAAGCAGCGCAGAGGUCGGCCAGCAACUGUGCACCACUGUGGCCCCCUGGAAAAGCCCUGAGUCUGCAGCUCCUCUGUGAGUCUGGCACGCCUCUGCCAGUCGACUAGCUUCUGACUAGACCCCCGCCUCGCCUCCUCCUGCUCCUCAACCCUCACUCUGUCUGUCUUCCUGUAACCCUGCCUGUCUCUCUGCCAGCCGCUCUCCGAUCGUCUGCCUCCCUGAUCGUAACCCGGUCUGUUCCAGUCCGCCCAUUUCUUCCUACUUCCCAUCAUCUUCCACCCCCCCCCAACGUCCUGUCCCGUCUCUCUCUCUUAUCGCUCUCCCAGCGGUCUCAACUUGACAUCUCAAUCCUGGGCUUGAAACUCAGUGAUGCAGCAGGCGAUGGUGUGUGAGAAUGUGCUCACAGCAACAGCAGGGGCCUUAGGUCAAGAGGUUCACAAAGUGGCAACACACAGGUAGAAUGACCCAGUCGGCCACAUUGUGUGUGUGUGUGUGUGUGUGUGUGUGUGUGUGUGUGUGUGUGUGUGUGUGUGUGUGUGUGUGUGUGUGUGUGUGUGUGUGUGUGUGUGUGUGUGUGUGUGUGUGUGUGAUGGGGGCUGCGCUUGGCCUAUCAGGUCUGCCUACGCUCCCCUGUGUAUGUCAUGUCAUUAGAGUGGCAAUGUUGAGGCAAUGAUGCCAUCACCCGGUCCAUAGCACCCUCUCCGGAUGUCUUUCUUGCUCCCUCUCUCUCCGGCUCUGUCUCCGUAUGUUUUCCUUUUAGUAUUUUCACGCCAACACUUUGUUUACCCCAUUGCGUUGCAAUUGUCAUUUUUGUUUGGGCGGAGGCGGGGUCCUGGUAGGACUGGUGUGCGUGAUACAUAUGAUCGUACAAAGAGAUGCACAGCUGCAAGUGAAAAAAAUGACAGAAGCGGACGAGCCCCAUCUGCAGCCAUAGAGAGAGAGCGGGAGAG